GAAAUUUAUGAUUUCUAUCUCACUAAGAAUGCUGUAUUUCUUGUUUAAGCGUGAAGUUCGAAAUUUACUGGCUGCAAUUUUUUUUUUUAAACUUUUUCGGUUAUCUCCCAUUUUCUGAUAUAGAGAGAUGGAUGAAUCAGACUACAAGUUGUAAUCAUGCACUCUUGCAAGCGUUUGAAGAUAACUUUUCUGAAAGGUCCAAGUGCUCAAUUAGGAAAGCUCAAGUACCAUAAAAUGUUGUCUCAUGGAAAUUUUCAAGUUCAUGACAUGAAAUUUUUUAUCAUCAGAUGUGUUGUGCUAGUCUAUGAAGUUCCUUCUUUUUUGGUUUGGUAGUUGGCUAGGUUAAUAAGCAGAAAUUGUUUG
rnacentral:misc_RNA from 1 species